AAGAUUGGAACUUCUUGAUGAUGAUAAACAUAUCCUUAGCAUCAGGAUAGUUGGUGGUGAUCACAGACUUAGGAACUACUCUUCAAUUAUCUCCCUCCAUUCAGAGAUCAUAGAAGGAAGGCCAGGGACUCUCGUUGUUGAGUCAUUUGUGGUGGAUACUCCUGAAGGAAACACAAAGGAUGAGACUUGCUUCGUUGUAGAAACGUUGAUCAAAUGCAAUCUCAAAUCUCUAGCUGAUGUCUCAGAAGGACUUGCUA
rnacentral:misc_RNA from 1 species